ACCUGAGAGGGUGGCCCCCCACAAUGGAACUGAAACACGGUCCAUACACCUACGGGUGGCAGCAGUAGGGAAUAUUGCAUAAUGGGCGAAAGCCUGAUGCAGCAACGCCGCGUGUGCGAUGAAGGCCUUCGGGUCGUAAAGCACUUUUAGAGCGGAUGAGGAAGGACAGUACGCUCUGAAUAAGCCUCGGCUAACUACGUGCCAGCAGCCGCGGUAAAACGUAGGAGGCGAGCGUUAUCCGGAUUUACUGGGCGUAAAGCGUGUGCAGGCGGUCGGGUAAGUUGGAUGUGAAAGCUCCUGGCUUAACUGGGAGAGGUCGUUCAAUACUACCGGACUUGAGGAUGGGAGAGGGAGGUGGAAUUCCGGGUGUAGUGGUGAAAUGCGUAGAUAUCCGGAGGAACACCAGUGGCGAAGGCGGCCUCCUGGCCCAAACCUGACGCUCAUACACGAAAGCUAGGGGAGCGAACGGGAUUAGAGACCCCGGUAGUCCUAGCUGUAAACGAUGUAGACUUGGCGUCGGUGGGUUUAAAUCCAUCGGUGCCGAAGCUAACGCGAUAAGUCUACCGCCUGGGGACUACGGCCGCAAGGUUAAAACUCAAAGGAAUUGACGGGGGCCCGCACAAGCAGCGGAGCGUGUGGUUUAAUUCGAUUUACACGAAGAACCUUACCAAGGUUUGACAUGCAGGUGGUAGGGAAGCGAAAGCAGACCGACCCUUCGGGGAGCCUGCACAGGUGCUGCAUGGCUGUCGUCAGCUCGUGUCGUGAGAUGUUCGGUUAAGUCCGCUAACGAGCGCAACCCUCGCUGUGUGUUACAAGUGUCACACGGGACUGCCGGUCUUAAGCCGGAGGAAGGUGGGGAUGACGUCAAGUCAGCAUGGCCUUUAUGCCUUGGGCUACACACACGCUACAAUGGGUAACACAAUAGGUUGCGAAGCCGCGAGGUGGAGCCAAUCCAGAAAGUUGCCCUCAGUUCAGAUCGUAGACUGCAACUCGCCUGCGUGAAGACGGAGUUGCUAGUAACCGCAGGUCAGCUAUACUGCGGUGAAUACGUUCCCGGGCCUUGUACACACCGCCCGUCACGUCAUGGGAGCUGGCAACACCUGAAGCCGGUAUCCUAACCGCAAGGAGGGAGCCGUCGAGGGUGGGGUCGGUGACUGGGACGAAGUCGUAACAAGGUAGGUGUACCGGAAGGUGCGCCUGG
rnacentral:rRNA from 1 species